AUGGUAGGAUAGAGGCCUACCAUGGUGGUAACGGGUAACGGGGUGUUAGGGCACGACACCGGGGAGGGAGCCUGAGAAACGGCUACCACAUCCAAGGAAGGCAGCAGGCGCGCAAAUUACCCAAUCCCGACACGGGGAGGUAGUGACAAUAAAUAACAAUACAGGGUUCUUUGAAUCUUGUAAUUGGAAUGAGUACAAUUUAAAUCUCUUAACGAGGAACAAUUGGAGGGCAAGUCUGGUGCCAGCAGCCGCGGUAAUUCCAGCUCCAAUAGCGUAUAUUAAAGUUGUUGCAGUUAAAAAGCUCGUAGUUGAAUUUCGGGAUCAAUACGUCGGUCGUGCUUUCGGGUACGUACUGGCGUCAUUGGUUUCUCCUUUCUGACGAACCAUGAUGUCAUUAAUUUGGUGUUAUGGGGAGUUAGGACUGUUACUUUGAAAAAAUUAGAGUGUUUAAAGCAGGCAUUAGCUUGAAUACAUUAGCAUGGAAUAAUGAAAUAGGACGUUCGAUCCUAUUUUGUUGGUUUCUAGGAUCAACGUAAUGAUUAAUAGGGAUAGUUGGGGGCAUUAGUAUUCAAUUGUCAGAGGUGAAAUUCUUGGAUUUAUUGAAGACUAACUACUGCGAAAGCAUUUGCCAAGGAUGUUUUCAUUAAUCAAGAACGAAAGUUAGGGGAUCGAAGACGAUCAGAUACCGUCGUAGUCUUAACCAUAAACUAUGCCGACUAGGGAUCGGAUGAUGUUAAUUUUUUAAUGACUCAUUCGGCGCCUUACAGGAAACCAAAGUGUUUGGG
rnacentral:rRNA from 1 species